CAGCCGCCGCGGUAAUACGGAGGGUGCAAGCGUUAAUCGGAAUUACUGGGCGUAAAGCGCGCGUAGGUGGUUUGUUAAGUUGGAUGUGAAAGCCCCGGGCUCAACCUGGGAACUGCAUUCGAAACUGGCAGGCUAGAGUCUUGUAGAGGGGGGUAGAAUUCCAGGUGUAGCGGUGAAAUGCGUAGAGAUCUGGAGGAAUACCGGUGGCGAAGGCGGCCCCCUGGACAAAGACUGACGCUCAGGUGCGAAAGCGUGGGGAGCAAACAGGAUUAGAUACCCCUGUAGUCCCUGUCUCUUAUAC
rnacentral:rRNA from 1 species